rnacentral:lncRNA from 1 species
GUUGCUUAGCCUCAAUGACAUGCGCCGUCUUGACUUUCUCAUUGUCUAGCAUGUCGUGGCUUUUAGCUAUAUGCAUUAUCAGGCUAUAACAGUGCUGGGAUAGCUCAUAUUUCUCUAUAACCUUUUAAAUUAAAUUAAAUUAGGUUAAAUUAAAUAGGAAACAAAUCAGCAUUGUAACUCUCUCUGUUCUCUACGAGGUGACUUAUACUCUUUGAGUUCUCCAUGUGAAGCCC